CAGGAGUUCAAAGCUAACCUAGGCAAUAAGA
rnacentral:piRNA from 1 species